CCUACGGGAGGCUGCAGUCGAGAAUCAUUCACAAUGGGGGAAACCCUGAUGGUGCGACGCCGCGUGGGGGAAUGAAGGUCUUCGGAUUGUAAACCCCUGUCAUGUGGGAGCAAAUUAAAAAGAUAGUACCUCAAGGGGACGAGACGGCUAACUCGGUGCCAGCGGCCGCGGUAAACCAGAGGUCUCACGCGUUGUUCGGAUUUACUGGGCGUAAAGCGUGCGUAGGCGGUUUCUGAAGUCGUGUGUGAAAGGCGCGGGCUGAACCAGGGGACGGCCCAUGAUACUGGGAGACUAGAGUUAUGGAGAGGGAAGCGGAAUUCUCGGUGUAGCAGUGAAAUGCGUAGAUAUCGAGAGGAACACUCGUGGCGAAGGCGGGUUCCUGGACAUUAACUGACGCUGAGGCACGAAGGCGAGGGGAGCGAAAGGGAUUAGAUACCCCUGUAGUC
rnacentral:rRNA from 1 species